UCAGGAUGAACGCUAGCGGCAGGCCUAAUACAUGCAAGUCGUACGGAAGGGCCCUUCGGGGGCCUUGAGAGUGGCGCACGGGUGCGCAACGCGUAUGCAACCAACCCCCCGCAGGCGGAUAGCCGGUGGAAACGCCGGAUAAUACGCCAUGGUUCCCUCGGAGGGCAUCCUCUGGGGGAUAAAGCUUUUGCGGCGGGGGACGGGCAUGCGUCCCAUUAGAUAGUAGGCGGGGUGACGGCCCACCUAGUCGACGAUGGGUAGGGGAUCUGAGAGGGCGGUCCCCCACACUGGUACUGAGACACGGACCAGACUCCUGCGGGAGGCAGCAGUAAGGGAUAUUGGUCAAUGGUCGGAAGACUGAACCAGCCAUGCCGCGUGAGGGAAUGAGGCCCUACGGGUCGUGAACCUCUUUUGUCCAGGGACAAUGACGGCGUCGCGAACGUCGUUUGAGGGUACUGGAAGAAUAAGCGUCGGCUAACUCCGUGCCAGCCGCGGC
rnacentral:rRNA from 1 species